UUAUCUUACUGAUUCAAAACUCUUUCUGCCUUAGGAAACAUAUUCAUUACAGGUAAACACACCUUUGUAUCUUGUUAAUAUCUAAUCAAUGAAGCUGCUAUGAUAAAAAAACAAAAGUUAAUCUGUCAUAUGUUGUUUCCUUUAUAGCCAAUGAUGUUUUAAACAUGCCCAAGUAAUCCCUGCAAGUUUAGUAAGACACUUCUAAGCCCAAGGGACAAAAUGAUUUCUUUUGAUGAGCCUGCAUCUCUGGAAUGAAAACUACUUAAUCAUGGUGGAUGAUCUUUUUGGUGUGUUCUUGCAUUACACAAUCAGACAAUUAGUUUGAGAUGUGGGAUGGGGCUCUGCAGCUGGUGAUCUGUUCCAGUGUUGAGAAAUUGGGUCUGGGGGAACACAGAGAGAGGAGAAGGUCUGUGAGCAACCUAUCUGGUUUUCUCAAAAAAACUUUUUUUUCUUAAGCAAUUACAUACUUCAUUCACUUCACUGUCAAUUUGAAUCUAUUUUGUUUUCUUACUUCACAAGUGAACUAAAUUAUUGUGUCAUAUUUUUAGAAUGAAAGUCUAAAUCAGACUUUGUACUCUCUUAUUAAUUGCAAUUCAGUAAUAUAUCAUUGAUUUCAUGAUUAAAAAGAAAUAAAACAUCAAAGGCAAAUUAUA